rnacentral:rRNA from 1 species
AGUGAACGCUGGCGGUAUGCCUAACACAUGCAAGUCGAACGGCAGCACAGUAAGCGCUUGCCCUUACGGUUGGCGAGUGGCGGACGGGUGAGGCAUACAUCGGAUUCUACUUUUUCGUGGGGGAUAACGUAGGGAAACUUACGCUAAUACCGCAUACGACCUACGGGUGAAAGCAGGGGAUCUUCGCACCCUGCGCGAUUGAAUGAGCCGAUGUCGGAUUAGCUAGUUGGCGAGGUAAAGGCCCACCAAGGCAACGAUCCGUAGCCGGUCUGAGAGGAUGAUCAGCCACACUGGAACUGAGACACGGUCCAGACUCCUACGGGAGGCAGCAGUGGGGAAUAUUGGACAAUGGGCGCAAGCCUGAUCCAGCCAUACCGCGUGGGUGAAGAAGGCCUUCGGGUUGUAAAGCCCUUUUGUUGGGAAAGAAAAGCAGCAGGUUAAUACCCCGCUGUUCUGACGGUACCCAAAGAAUAAGCACCGGCUAACUUCGUG